GACGACGCAACGCCGCGUGGAGGACGAAGACCUUCGGGUCGUAAACUCCUUUCGAUCGAGACGAAUGGCCUCCGGGUAAACAACUCGGAGGAAUGACGGUACCGAGAGAAGAAGCCCCGGCUAACUCCGUGCCAGCAGCCGCGGUAAUACGGGGGGGGCAAGCGUUGUUCGGAAUUACUGGGCGUAAAGGGCUCGUAGGUGGCCAACUAAGUCAGACGUGAAAUCCCUCAGCUUAACUGGGGAACUGCGUCUGAUACUGGAUGGCUUGAGUUUGGGAGAGGGAUGCGGAAUUCCAGGUGUAGCGGUGAAAUGCGUAGAUAUCUGGAGGAACACCGGUGGCGAAGGCGGCAUCCUGGACCAACACUGACACUGAGGAGCGAAAGCCAGGGGAGCAAACGGGAUUAGAUACCCCGGUAGUCCUGGCCCUAAACGAUGAAUGCUUGGUGUGGCGGGUAUCGAUCCCUGCCGUGCCGAAGCUAACGCAUUAAGCAUUCCGCCUGGGGAGUACGGUCGCAAGGCUG
rnacentral:rRNA from 1 species